UACAGAGGGUGCGAGCGUUGUUCGGAAUUACUGGGCGUAAAGGGCGCGUAGGCGGCUUGACAAGUCUGUUGUGAAAGCCCGGGGCUUAACCUCGGAAGUGCAAUGGAAACUGUCAGGCUAGAGUGCAGUAGAGGAUGGUAGAAUACCCAGUGUAGAGGUGAAAUUCGUAGAUAUUGGGUGGAAUACCUGUGGCGAAGGCGGCCAUCUGGGCUGCAACUGACGCUGAGGCGCGAAAGCGUGGGGAUCAAAC
rnacentral:rRNA from 1 species